AAUCAGGGGUGCCGUCAAGGCUGAGACGGGCAGAUGUCCGAACCCUUUAACCUGAUACGGGUAAUGCCGGCGUAGGGAGAUUAACUCA
rnacentral:ncRNA from 1 species